rnacentral:rRNA from 1 species
UACGUAGGGUGCAAGCGUUGUCCGGAAUUAUUGGGCGUAAAGAGCUCGUAGGUGGCCUGUCGCGUCGGCUGUGAAAACUCGGGGCUCAACUCCGAGCUUGCAGUCGAUACGGGCAGGCUAGAGUUCGGCAGGGGAGACUGGAAUUCCUGGUGUAGCGGUGAAAUGCGCAGAUAUCAGGAGGAACACCGGUGGCGAAGGCGGGUCUCUGGGGUUGUUCUGACACUGAGGAGCGAAAGCUAGGGGAGCAAACGGG